GAUGAACGCUGGCGGCGUGCUUAACACAUGCAAGUCGAACGGAAAGGCGCGACGUUUGUGGGGUUCUCGAGUGGCGAACGCAUGAGUAACACGUGAGUAAACUGCCCUUAUCUUUGGGAUAAAUUUAGGAAACUGGGGCUAAUAUCGGAGAGGAUCUUCUGCUGCAUGGGGGUGGUUGGAGAAUGUCGGCGGUUGGGGAUGGUCUCGCGGCUUAUGCGCUUGAUGGGUGGGUAGGGGCUGACAAGGGGUUUGACGGGUAGGCGGCCUGAGAGGGUGAACGGCCACAUUGGGCCUGAGAUACGGCCCAGAAUCCUACGGGAGGCAGCAGUGGGGAAUAUUGCACAACGGGCGGAAGCCUGAUGCAGCAACGCCGCGUGCGGGAUGACGGCCUUCGGGUUGUAAACCGCUUUCGACUGUGACGAAGCGUGAGUGACGGUAAUGGGUAAAGAAGCAACGGCUAACUACGUG
rnacentral:rRNA from 1 species